CGGCGCUCGGGUGGACAAGUAUUUUUUGCUGUGCGUUAAUUACCGCGGAGUGUGUUAGCGAUACCAGGGACUUGGAGGAAGGCGAAGAGCAGUAAGAUUACGGCGGAAGAUGCGAUUCGACAACGCCAGACCUGCAAGACAGUCCGACGUCAUCAAAGUAUCGUCUUAUUCUCGACCCAAAACCUCAGUGUCACGAUCGUUGGGCCUGAAAGGAUCACGCUUGGGUCCCGCUGCUCCUGCUAUCAGGCAUCCAGAGCACCCGAGCCUCGGCGGCGUGACUGGCUCGCGACGUAUUUUGCAUCAAGGAAAUACUCUCUUUCACGGACCAAGUUUCUUCAAGCACAAACUGUAAAUGUUUUGGUAACACAUUUUACCGAACUUCCUGAGUCGAUAUGGGGCUUCACGAUGUCAUGGUUUUAUGGCUGCAGGUGCUUGUAUGGGCAGUGGUUCAGCGGGUCUGUUCAAACAAUAAUUAAGUUUUCUAGUACCUCUGUUUUCGUAAAAGUUUGCAUCAUUGUUUCGUUCUAGUGGUAUAAGCACAAAUACCGUAUACUUCCAUUUAUAAAAGGAAUAAAACGAGCUAAAACAGUAAUGGGA